rnacentral:rRNA from 1 species
UACGGAGGAGGCAAGCGUUAUCCGGAAUGAUUGGGCGUAAAGCGUCCGCAGGUGGCCGUUCAAGUCUGCUGUCAAACCAGGGGCUCAACUCCUGACCGGCAGUGGAAACUGAACAGCUAGAGUGCGGUAGGGGCAGAGGGAAUUCCCGGUGUAGCGGUGAAAUGCGUAGAGAUCGGGAAGAACACCGGUGGCGAAAGCGCUCUGCUGGGCCGCAACUGACACUCAGGGACGAAAGCUAGGGGAGCGAAUGGG